CUGCCCCUUCCCCCAUGCACAUGCACUCAGGCUUGCUCUCUCUCUCUCAAAAUAAAUAAACCUUAAAAAAACAAAGAAUAUGUAACUUUCCUGAAGGCCAAGAAAUUUCUCUCCCUAAAUUGCUUAAUGCUAUAACUUUCUCAGGAAUUGUUGCUCAAUAAAUCAGCUGAUUUGACUUUGUCCUUUUUUGUACUGAAGUAUAAUCUGCAAUAGUAGAAGGCACUGAUCUCAAGUAUACAGUUUGUUGAGUUUUGAUAAAUGUAUGCAAGCGUAACCUGUCUUCCUGCCAACAUGUAGGACGUUUGCAUGUUGACUGGAUUUUGAUUCUUUCAUGACUGCGUUACUGAAAACUCACUAUUUUCCCCAUGUAAUAGGCCAUAAAUUCAAGUAAGAUCCUUGGACCAGAUCAAACAUUAUUUAUGUAGGAUCACUGCCAGAUUUUUUUACUUAAAAGGGAUUUCGUGAAUCUGACAGUCUCACCGUAAGAGCAACAACAAAUACUGCAAUGGUAUUCCAACAGACGUCAGGCUUCAGAGAAGUACGAGGCACACUCCCUGUACUCAAGGUACUUGAUGCCUAGUGAGGAAGACAGAAAACAAACAACAAGUGUCCAUCCAAAGUACUCCAACUAGGGCAAUGAGCAAAUAAAUAAAUAAGCAUCCCUGACACAACAACUUGCCAAUGACAUUAUCCAGUUGGUGGACAUUAGCCAGAUGUCUUGGGUCAGAAUCGUGGACAAAGACCAUCACCUGAAGUUCCACUCAACAACACUCAAUAACAGCGCAUGAUUAUUACAUACUAAAAAUCAAGAGGCUCCCAAAGACACUUAGUGACUGACAGCUUCAUCUCCCAGGCUUUUUAAAGUUCAUCAUGCAAACACAGACAGUGUGAAACAGUUAGUCUAAUUAAGCAUUUUCCUUAUCCUCCCCCAGCAGAACUGCAUUUGAGAUAAAGGAUAAUGGCACUAAAUGAACAGGUUAAUUAGAGACAGCAUUUACCCCCGCAGGCCCUUCACUGGAAACACCAUUUCACACCAUUACAUCACACAGGAGAGCCAGGCUCCAGGGACCAGCUCCUGAGACAGCCAGUGACCGGCAGAGAACGUAGCAAGUAGUAGAAAGGGAAAUCAUGUUGGCAUACCCAGUGUGUGUGCUCAGCAAGGAUGGCCCCCCAUAUUUCUCUAGGGCGUGAGCCCGCCAACUACAGCUGCAGGCCAAAUCCACCCCGCGAUCAUUUUUUGUAUAGCCCGUAAGGUUAGUCUCUGCAUUUUUAAGGUGUUGUUUAAAAAAACAGAAAAAGAGAAAAGAAAUCAAGAAAGAAUGUAUGGCAGAAACCUGCGCGGUCACAAAAGCUAGUAUGUUCUCUCUGGCCCUUUACAGAAAAGGUUUGCCAAGCCAUUGUCUCGGAUGAUAGGAAUCAAGCUAUGUGCUCGAUACGAAAGGAAGGAGGGUAAAGAGAAUUGCAAAAUGUUCACAUGGGAGAUUUUUUUUUUUAAACUCCAACCCUGUCACCAGGUGCCAUGCUACAAAUAUCUUAAGCUGAUGCAGAGGUGUCCUUUUGUUAGGAACAAAGCUUUCUCUCUGUGGCUAUCUAGGAAAAAAAGCAGCAGAAAUCUGAGCAACUUAUUAAUUCAAACAACUUUUUUUUUUUUUAAAUAAGAAAACACAAACUUGUCUCCUCCUCCCUUCUCACCUCCCUCUUUCUCCAACCUAGUCAUUAUUUCAAGUUUGAACGUGUUCUUGUGAAAAUAUUAUGAUUUAAGGUAGUGCCUGCUAUCAUUCCAUUGGUUUUGGGGGUUUAGGACCAAGUUUUAAAAUAGGUUACAAGUUGAAACUUGGCGGAGAGAAACAGACACUCAGGGUAGGCACCAAUUGUAUGUAAUUUGAAAACAGCCGGUUUCGAAUUUGCUAAUUCAUAAGAGCUCAGGAAAGAAGGCAAACCUCAACAACCUAACCUAACUGCAAAAUACUUGCAUUCUGAAUAUAGCCCAGUGCCCAUUCAGAAUCUGUCAUUAAUUCAGCCGAUGUUUUUCUUCCCAGAAUAAUAAAUACUUUCUUCAAUUGAAAUGUGGGAUCAUUACAAAUAAAAAUAUUGCUAUUGACCGGCUGUAAGUGGAUUACAUAUUUACUUUGCUUUAUUGGAAGGCCCAUGAGGGGAAUGACCAUAACUUAUGCCUUCUCUUGCAUCCCAUACGGCCCAGUUGGGCACAAAAUUGGCACUUAAAAAAAAUUCUUGUUGAUGAAAUAGUGAACAGCCAAUACAAAGAAUGAAAACCGGCAAAUGAGACUCGCUCACUCUUGCCAGGUACACACAUUUUAAUAUGGUUACUGGCAAAAUGUGAAGUGUCUUGGCUCCCGAGAGAGACUCCAAAGUCCAGUGACCUUCAAUGGAACUUCAACACAAAGUCAAUCAUCCUUCCAAUAGCUCUGGUCUCUCAUAUCCAUGCGAUUUUGAGAUGAAAAAGGUCUCCACUAUAAAUACAUUCUUUGUUUCACAAAUAUUUCAACACUUAGGAGUAUCAAAUUAGUGUGGUAUCUUUGAAUAGAUUCUCUUUCUGAAGGAGUGGAGCAUGACAAGUGCUUCUGACUACAAGCUCACUGUCCAGAGAAAGUGUGUUCCACUCUAGAUUACCAAGGAAUUGUUGAACAAAGGUGCAGAGAGCAUUAGGGCACCCCUAGUAGGAGGAGCUAGUGGGCUGGAUGGAUUUGGAACAGCUGUUCUCAGGGGCUGCUGUGCUGCUGGAGCCUUUCCACUGGAUCAAAGAUGGCCGUUUCCCGUUUGCAGAGUGUAACAAUAUGGAGUGUGUGUGCAUGCACACAUGUUAUGCACACACUACAUGACCUUGAAGCCAGGCCUGAUCUUGGGAGACAGUCGUGUCCUUCUAGGGUUGCAUGAGGAUAAGGACUCAGUUAUCCUAAGCUGAAAAGAUCUCAAACUGACAGGAGACCUUGAAUGCCUUAUGUCUUUCACCUUCAGCUCAUUAUAUGAAUAUGUUCUUAACAAGGAUAUCAUUAGAUUCCAUUUAUAAUAAACAAACAAGGGAAGAAACAUCAUGCCUGUUGACAGGCCAGUCAUCUCAACCCCAAUAAUGACUCCUCUUUUUGCUAUUUUAUAAAGUUAGUCCUUCCUGAUCACUGAUUUUCUUGCCCUUUGACUACACAUCAAACUAACUGUUACUUACAAGCAAUUGACUGCAAGUUUAUUUAACAGCAAGAUAUCCCUUUAAUUAACUGCCUUCUUUUUUAUUGGAGUUGACAGGCAAUACAUUUGUAGCAUUUCAAAUGAUUACAUAAAGUCUUAGGUAGUUAUAUACCAAUUGGUAAAGAAAAAACAUUAAUCCUAACAGAUUUUGUGGUUAAGAAACCCCACAAGGAUAAAAGAUCUCAGUAAUUUCACAGAACUUCAGAUUGACUGUCAUUAUCUAUUUAUUUAGGUAGAAAUUAUUAAAUUCAAUAAUUUAAAAAAUCUGUUUUUUAUCCCGUUUUGAAGGCAAAAUUGUUCUUGAGACAUUACUGGUCUUUCCCUUAGACUCUCUCUGCUUCAAUGUAGAAAUUAUACUUCUGGGAACUUGAAGUAACCAAGAAUGUACACCAAGAUUUAAACCAAAAUAUAUUUAUCACUUCCCUGCCUAAAAUUGAUUUAAAAGUUGUAAAUGACACUUCUUCAUUUCAACAGGAGGAGAGAGGUAAGAUAAAGCAUGAUAUAUUCACAGAAAAUACAUAUACGUACACAUUAUACGGUCAUUAGAAAUGACACUGUAGAGUACUUAUGGAUGUAAUGUUCAGUGAAUAAAAGAUGAAUUCUAAACAGUGUAUGCGAUUCCAAUUACGCUCACUACGUUUGAACAGAAAAAAGACUAGAAGGAUAUAAACAAAACCUGUACCAACUGUUAUCAAUGGAGGGAGAACUUGCAGGUGAUUUUUUAUUCUCUUCUUUGUGCCUUCCACAUUUUACUUGUUUGUAAAUUACUUCCAUAAUUUACUUGUUUGGUAAUAAGAAAGAACUAUAUAUUUUGGAAGUCUAUUUGGGAAGAGGACUCUCCCGCAGGUCUUAAUUAGAUGCUAUUCUAGACUCAGAGCCGUCCAGCAAACCACUCCCAAAAGUAGUCAAGUUCUUAACUAGAAUGACUGCCCGCUGAUUCCAGUUCCCCCUUCUUUAGAUUACUGUGAGAGCAGAAGACAGAAAGAGAGUUUGGGAAAAAUGCCUACUCCUGCAUUUAUAAACAAGUGAAUUCUCAGUAGGAGGAAGAAUCAUUAAAACCAACCAAAAAAAAAAAAAAAAAAACCA